UUAGGAAUAAUAUAAUGCAAACUUGCGAUAUAUUCAUAUCGGUUUAUUUAUCGAUACCUCUAUACGCAAGUAGGCAAUGUUGCCAGAAGCAGGAGACCUGUCGAUUUAUCGUAAGCUGUUUUGAAAAAAUCCGUUGCCCGCGUAAAGUCAACAACUUUGAACAGUUUGUUCCCCAGGUUCAAGAGCUGUUUCAGAUUUGCAUUCCACUUAUGACCUUGCGCCAGACGACUGUGAGAAGUUGCCCCCGAGACAGCACACCCGUUUUUGAGCGUGCAUAACUCAUCAAUCAAGCUCUGCAUAUCUACGUUUAAAGUCAUGCAACUUGCGCAUAAUCUACUUUUAUGGUAACUGCUGUGCAUAUAUUGCCCCUUCCAAUGAGUCGGUCGUCGACGGUGGCGACGGCUCGCUUAUCAAUUCAAUUGAAAUGUUAUUAAUAACAAUUGCUGGCUUUAUAUUAAAUGCUGUUGCAUCAACACGGACUUGGACUCGCACGCCCCGCGAUGAGUAAUCGCAAAUGCUGCUCAAGUUUCCAGUGGGUAUCUCAUCUGCUUGGUAACAGCGAUUCGAUAACAGAGACAAUGUUCACUUUAUACCAUCAUAAAAAACAUAAAAAAUAAUUUAUUUGCUUAUUAAUUUGUUUAAUAAAUAUACAAUAUAUAAAAUUUCUGGUUAGUUUGCAAGCGUUUGCAAGGCCACUCGAAGGGUUUUGAUUCCGGGUUGAUAAAAAAAGAAGAGUAGUACAAAAAGACUGAUUAACUACGUUAAAAAUACACUGAUAACGAGGCACAUUAACAAGUUUUUUUUUUUGUUUUUUGUAUUGUUUUAGUACACACAUUGGACACGGACUUGACUUGGACGUGCCAGUUAAAAUAAAAAGUGUUUCGCUUGAAGGCACAACGUGGAUUCCGUUAUAGAUAUUACAUAUUAGUCUAGAUAUUAACGUUGACAAUAGAAGCCAAUAGAAGCGAGGCUCUAUUGCGUAUAUAACAUUUACACACAUAAAUUAUUUAAUUCAGA